GGGUGAUGUGAGACCUUCGAGGGAAACCUGUUAAAAGUCUAGCAGCAGAAUUUUGAACAAUUUGCAGUUUGUUCAGAGCAGACUUAUUCAGACAGGUAAAAACAGAGUUACAAUAAUCAAGUCUUGUUGAUAUGAAAGCAUGAAUAAUAAUUUCCAGAUCCUUCCUUGACAAUAUUUUGCGAAUUUUAGAGAUGGUCCUAAGGUGAUAAAAACAGUUUCGGACGAGCUGUUUUGAGUGUGUUUCCAAAGACAUGGCCUGGUCAAACACAACCCCCAGGUUUCUGAGGCUGCAUAUACAGACCAACAGAAGGUUACGUCAUCAUUGUAGUAUGCUAUAGACUGGUGCUAUGUGAUUGAAAAAAGCAUAAUACCCCCUCUUUAAGGUAUUUAGAAAAGUUUUGCAGGUCUUAGUUUGCCCUAGUGGCUGUGCCCUUAUGGAUUUGGGUAAAGCUGAACUGGAGAAAAUACACUCGGUGAGGCACAUUGAGUUGCCUUGUGCAUGAAAUGUGCUGUAUAAGUAAAUUUGCCUCGCCGCUCUCUGUGCAGUAUGUCCGCGGUUUGUCGUCCCCACAGCGCUGUUUCAGCUGCACUUUAUUAAUCCCCGUCGGGAAAUACGUUCUCUGCAUUUGACCCGUCCUCAAAGCCGCGGGGGCGCCUGGCAGGAGCAGUGUGCUGCCAGCGUGGGCCGGCGCUCGGGGACCCGUCUCCAGAUGUGAAGCCAGGCUGAUGGUCAGAAACCCCUGGCUGGAGGAUUCACCUAUUGCACAUUGACAAAGCCCUGUCCAUAGUCGAUGCUGUAUCUGGACGGAAAGAGACACUUUAACCAAACCGUGCCCUAAAGCUCCUCCGCCGUCAGCCGUCACUAAAGCAGCUCCAAACCUCCAUCCUGUUUACGCCUCCUCCGUGUCCCGUACGAAACGCCAAAGUUUACAACACUCUACAGGACAAACUGACACAUACUGCACUGUUUUGGAUAUUUACUUUCGGCUGCAGUUAUUUAGCUCCGAUAUUGUGGCUCCAUUGUGUCUAAAAGCUGCUAACCCUGUAGUUCAUAGCUCGGUUUAUAUUUCAAAUGGAAUCUGGAACCGCAAAUUGAAUCGUAAUAAUUAUCUGGAAAUUGCAAUCAGAUAUUAUUUAAGUUAAGAAAGAUAAUAAUAAUGCCUUACACUUGUAGAUGUAUCCAGGAAGUAUCUGCCUGAUUUAUUGAGCUUUGAACCCAAAAAAUAAGGCGACAUUUUAAUUUUUACAGAUUUUUUCACUUAUGAAGAAAAUAAACUAGAUCCAAAAUCCCUGUGAGCAAUCUUUGUAACUAAUAUAUCAAUAAAAAACCCUGGGUCUAUUCAUCAUGUAGAUUUGUAUGCAAAAAAAUGAAAACAUGAAACAGAAAACUUGCCAUACAUUUUAUUGUAAUAUUCAUGUCAGUAAUCUACAGCAAAGCAAUAGAUGUUAAUAUAUAAUAAUAAUAAGUCAGUCUCCAAUAUCUUUAAAAGGAGAAGCUUCAAGAAACUGUUGGUUCAAAGUCAUUUUUCAGGGCGAGUCAUUUUUAUUUUCACUCAUCACUGACGCUGUUGUCGACAUUAUGUUUUUAUAAAGUUGUAUCUGUCUUUAUUUCUCUGCAGCUUGUGUGGCUUCUCGAUCCGUUUACCUGCGGCGAGUUUGGGAUCAUGUUUUAUAUUCCUCUGUCAAAACGCUUGAGUUUGAACAUUUAAGCUUUAUGCUUGGAGGGGAACGCGACUGGCACUUUUUUAGCCUUAACAUUAUUAUUAUAGUCACUGCAAUGCAAUAAAUAAUUGUAUUUAUACAAAACAUGGAGUUGUGUGUGUGUGUGUGAUUUAAGUGUGAAAGGAUUUUGAAGUUAAUCAGUCAAAGCCAAACCUCUGAGAGUCAGUCCUACAAUGGCCUCGAUUUGCUCCAUGUCCUAACCAGUGUUUCUCAACCUGGGGUACGGGGACCUCAGGCACUUUGAAUUAUUUCAGACUAAAAAGAGAAGGUGAAAGAAACCGUGUCGUCUGCCAACAUUACUGCCAAAGAAGUUCAUUGUAAAUGGCAAAACUAUAGUGUAUAGUAUGUAU
rnacentral:lncRNA from 1 species